rnacentral:lncRNA from 1 species
GAUCGAGGAUGAGACUUAUGUGGAGCCAUCUCAUGAGAGUUUGAAGAGGAAAGGCAAAGCCAUAAGGACUAACAGCCAUAAGGACAGUCAAGGUACAGGCAGCGGUAACAAUGACAAAGAAGGUGAUGAUUUUGAUGUGCCUACAUCUCGUUUUCAACCUUCUCAAACAAAUGUCCUUAGAGAUGCAAGGAUGAGAGAACCUUAGGCAGCUAUUUAUAGAGUCAAAGUAAACUGCAAGGC